AGAACAGAUUAUACACAAUUUGCUAAAAACCAGCCAGGAGAUUUUUCAAGCACCGUUUCCAGGCAUUAGUUUUCAUCAUCCAAAGGUAAAAAGCUCAUUUAUGAGGAAAGAAAAAAUAAAAAUUAUCAUGUUACGUGUGAGCAGGCCAUUUGUGGAGCUGGGCUAAGCUGGGAGAAGUGCCCCUUUCACCCUUGGCAGUGGGUUGAAGCCUCUGUUUUGGCUGUGAGCGAGAGGAGCGGGCCGGUGUCUCCUUGGUCCCGAAGAAGUGGGAUUUCAUAUGUCAAAGAGCCACACUGAGAUGAAGGCAAUUGGAAGUAACUGCUCAGAAGAAGAUGCCCAAGAGUAAGUUGCCAUGGAGAUGGAAAGGCUAAACACCACUGUACUCCUGACCUCGAAAGAGGCUGAUUUCUCCACAUGACAGCUGAGGUCGUGGGGGCAUGGUGGGAAGCUCAUCCUGCCGGCUCCAGCUCUGCCUCUAGCCUAUGGAUAAGUAAAGAAUUACUGCUUUACUACUUUAGGUAGUCCAUUAACCUUCACAAGCCUGAACUUUCAUUCAAAUAAUUGCAAAAUAAGUAUAGGUGGUGAAACCUGAACAGAAUCACUGCUAUUUGUAUGCCCUUUGGAAAGUUUAGGGACCCAACCCUUAGUGUGGAUCCACUGGUAUUUCAAACAGUGAGGUAUCUUUCUUACCUUCUUGCUGUAAUUGAAAAAAGUUAAAGCCCAGAAUUACCAGCAAAAUCUGAAAACCAUUCACUGACUGGCCACCAAAUGAAUGUAAACAAAAUGGUCCUUCAUCAGCGGUGGGGCUUUGUAUUCAGUGGGGAGAUUACCUUCUGUUUGUAACUUAUUGCCUUAUGGUGAGUUCUUUUAGCUACAAAUCCAUUCCACAGGGUCUAUUAGAAUAACCCACCAUGCAUCAUGACAGACCUCACCCGGGAACAGCCGUAAAGACAGAAGGGCAGCAGGAUCCUGCUACACACCCCAGUAACCCACAGCCUCCCUCUGUGCACACAAUUCCCACGGAUGCAGUAAAACCUGAUUUAAGUGCCAGCAGAGAGACUGCCUGAAGGGGAGCUUGGCACCAUGUUUCUUGGCCCCACCAAAUCUGGAUUAUGAUGGAUACCAUAAAUACAUAAAUGAAAUGUUUCCAUCUGAAAGCCCUGUACUACAUGGACUGCACCCCAAUGCUGAGAUGGGAUUCUUGACAUCAGAUAAUCUCUUCAAAACUCCUUUGGAAAACAACCCAUGGGAGAGGGAUCCAGCCAAUCUGCAGUUAAAGAGGGGGAGCUGAUCUUUUCUGCUCACAUGGAAGUGCUGCAAUACACACUCUUCUGUGAUGUUGUGCCAGACACAUGGACUAAACCAGCAUAUCCAUCCACACACAGCUUUAUCCACUGGUAAGUGCCCCACAGUGACAGGGUUUAGCUACUGUGCAGAGCUAUUCCAAUGAUUUAAGUCCACCAGCCUGGUUCCAUUCAUGUUUCUUCCAAAUUUUGUCCUAAUGAAAGUCAGUUUUCCUUUGAAGCAGGUUUUGUAGCAAAACCAAGCACUUUGUUAAAGCGAAGGCUCUGUCACCUCCUUUUGUUCCAAGUACUGGACGUGUUCAGCAUCUUGUGGGAUUCCUUUCCCUUAGCCUGCCACCAGCAGUGGUUAGACAUGGAUGAAACAGGCAUUGUUUUUGGAAAUUCUUCUGAUACCUCAUGGCAAUGUAUGCUGCAUUAUGCCAUUAUUCAGAGCCUCUGUCAGAAUCUCUUAUGUUCCUGAUUUGCACUUUGCUCUGGCUUAUUGAAAGUUUAAAAAUGAAGUUUAAAUACCAAUGAAGACGAUAUCAGACAAUUUGUAUUUAAGAAGCCAUCUAGCAGUUAGGAAAUUCUGGCAAUUUCUCAUGGUGAUGUUCAGGUUUCUCCCCUAGACAGCAGAUUCAACAGCACUGAGCAUACUCACAUUCUCUGCUGCCUGCAACUCAUCCCAUGCUGAUCACCUUCUGCAACUGAUUUCAGACAUACUUACAUGAGGGAAACAACAAAUUCCACUGAAACAAUUGCCUUAUACUUACAUAAACUUAUACUUUCUGGUGACUUCAACAAUGUACUUUCUCUGUAGACAAAAGGACUCUUUACAUUUGAAAUCUGUAGUUUAUUUUGUCUACCAAAUUAGCUCAUAUGCAGUUAAGGCAGGAGCUAUUGAUGCUUCUCUUUUAGGGUUACUGAUUUUCUCAUGAGGUACCAAGAACUUGACAUCUGGACACAGGACCUUGUGCUGCCAGCAGUGGUGAGGCUUUCUGGCUUGCUCCAUCCUCACUGCUUUCUGACAGAUCAGCAGUGAUGGGUGUAGGGCACCAAGCAUCUGGUUUCAGUGCCAGACAUCUUUCUUUGACUUACUGAUGGUUAGCUAUGUUUGUGAUGCUGUUUGGAGAGUUAAUCACAGAUUAAAUAAAAAGAUAAAAAUCACCUUAACACUAGAAUAAUCCUUUCCUGAAAACAGGGGGAACAAUCCAAACUUUCCUUCAGGCUACUCAGAAGUGUGAAGACAAAACAGCUAAGGAAAUAAAAGCUUGAAUUUUAUAGUUUAAAAAAGGUUUAAGAGUGCAAGUUUUCCCACCAUUGUUAUUUAACUAAUUCAGUGCAUGUAUCAUAGUAUCAUUCUGUUUUUGUCUAUAAAAGAGCUAUGAGGCUGAAGAGAAAAAUAAAUCAACUCUCCCAGUCCUCUUUGUGUAGUUGUUGCCACAGCAGGGGAUGGAAAACUUUCAGCAGUGUAGUGAAUAAGCAGUACAUCUCAUUUCCUGUCACAAUCACAACAUAUUAGCUGAGUUGGUGCUAGUAACACCAAGGUUUGUGGGUUCAAUCUCCAUGUGGAUCAUUCAUUUAGGAGUUGGACUUGAUGAUUCUUGUUGGUCCCUUCCCACUCAGAAUAUUCUGUGAAUCUGUGAAUGUAUGUUUGCAUUUAUUCUGAACAUCAUAGGAGUGCUUGGUAACAGUCUCUCAGUAUAGCAGUAACAGUGUAGCUCAAAUUCUGCGUGGUCACCAAUGGCAUUGAACUAAAUGCUUCACUUGGCUAGGGGAAGGAUGGCCAGGAGCUCCUCACAGGACACUGGCAGGGAUUCUCUGAAGAAGGGUAGACCCUACACAACCUCAGGCUUGGGCAGGAUGGCCCAAGAGGCUGACAGUUCUAACAUUAAACUUACUGACUGCAUAUUGAAUUAUUGAAAUCACUUUUUUAUUUAAAGCUGUAAUGCAGUGCAGGAAAUACUGGCUUUUGGAUAAAGUGUGCUCAACUGCAAAUGUUACCAAAAACACCAAAGGGCCUGUAUCUGUGUGCCUUCCAUGCAAGGUAAGAAAUAAACUUAAAUUACUUGAUCUCCGAGUUCAGGGACUCUAUUAGGCAGUUAAAUUGCAUCAAGAGUUGCACUAAAGCAUUGCGACCCUAUCUAAGAACAGAACCAAGAAGUUUAGGCAUGGUGUUAGAUUGCUGGCAUUUGUCACUGUGACUUUAAAUUUCAUACCAGCUUGGUGUUCUAAUCAUUAAAUAUACUUCCUGAAUUUAAAUAACUGUUAAUAUGUCUGAACAAGGUCUGCAUUGUAAAGCAGCAGCUCUAAUCCAGCUGAGGUUCAGAAGUUUAAAAGACUAUUCCAGAAACCGUAAAUUUCACAUGAACGAACUUCUAGAAUUUUUUGCAGCUCUCAGAGGUGAAGAAUAGGGUUAGUAGUUACCACAUGCUGGCAACCUGGAUCAAGUAAUCUACACAACUGCAAUUUGAAAAAAAAUACAACCUAGCCUCCACAAAAAAAAAAACACCAACCAACCUACCAACAAAACCC